GAAACUCAGGCUAAUACCGCAUGAGCCCUUCGGGGGAAAGCAGGGGAUCUUCGGACCUUGCGCUAUUGGAUGAGCCUAUGUCUGAUUAGCUUGUUGGUGGGGUAACGGCCUACCAAGGCGACGAUCAGUAGCUGGUCUGAGAGGACGAUCAGCCACACUGGGACUGAGACACGGCCCAGACUCCUACGGGAGGCAGCAGUGGGGAAUAUUGGACAAUGGGCGCAAGCCUGAUCCAGCAAUGCCGCGUGUGUGAAGAAGGCCUGCGGGUUGUAAAGCACUUUCAGUGGGGAGGAAAAGCUCAAGAUUAAUACCCUUGGGUCUUGACGUUAUCCACAGAAGAAGCACCGGCUAACUCUGUGCCAGCAGCCGCGGUAAUACAGAGGGUGCAAGCGUUAAUCGGAAUUACUGGGCGUAAAGCGCGCGUAGGCGGUUUGUUAAGUCGGAUGUGAAAGCCCCGGGCUCAACCUGGGAACUGCAUUCGAUACUGGCAGGCUAGAGUAUGGUAGAGGGAAGUGGAAUUCCGGGUGUAGCGGGUGAAAUGCGUAGAUAUCCGGAGGAACAUCAGUGGCGAAGGCGGCUUCCUGGACCAAUACUGACGCUGA
rnacentral:rRNA from 1 species